GACGAACGCUGGCGGCGUGCUUAACACAUGCAAGUCGAACGGGAUUUAGUAAACAGAAGCCUCGGUGGAAGAUUACUAAUGAGAGUUGCGAACGGGGGAGUAACGCGUGAGCAACCUGCCUAUGACAGUGGGAUAGCCUCGGGAAACCGGGAUUAAUACCGCAUAAAAUCGUAGAAACACAUGUUUUAACGGUCAAAGAUUUAUCGGUCAUAGAUGGGCUCGCGUCUGAUUAGCUAGUUGGUGAGAUAACAGCCCACCAAGGCGACGAUCAGUAGCCGGUCUGAGAGGAUGACCGGCCACAUUGGAACUGCGACACGGUCCAAACUCCUACGGGAGGCAGCAGUGGGGAAUAUUGCACAAUGGGGGAAACCCUGAUGCAGCGACGCCGCGUGAACGAAGAAGGUAUUCGUAUCGUAAAGUUCUGUCCUAUGGGAAGAUAAUGACAGUACCAUAGAAGAAAGCUCCGGCUAAAUACGUG
rnacentral:rRNA from 1 species